rnacentral:rRNA from 1 species
GUAGUUGACGUCUCGCUCGACGAGACGCUGGCGCGUGCUUAACACAUGCAAGUCGACGAAUGAAGCCUAGCUUGCUAGGUGGAGUUAGUGGCGAACGGGUGAGUAAUACGUGAGUAACCUACCUUUAACUCUGGGAUAAGCCUGGGAAACUGGGUCUAAUACCGGAUACGACCAAUCUCCGCAUGGGGUGUUGGUGGAAAGCGUUAUGUAGUGGUUAUAGAUGGGCUCACGGCCUAUCAGCUUGUUGGUGAGGUAACGGCUCACCAAGGCGACGACGGGUAGCCGGCCUGAGAGGGUGACCGGCCACACUGGGACUGAGACACGGCCCAGACUCCUACGGGAGGCAGCAGUGGGGAAUAGUGCACAAUGGGCGCAAGCCUGAUGCAGCGACGCCGCGUGAGGGAUGGCGGCCUUCGGGUUGUAAACCUCUGUUAGCAGGGAAGAAGAGAGAUUGACGGUACCUGCAGAGAAAGCGCCGGCUAACUACGUG